GAGUUUGAAUCAUGGCUCAGGACGAACGCUGGCGGCGUGCCUAAUACAUGCAAGUCGAACGCGUCUCCGUUAAUGAUUUUAGGUGCUUGCACUUGAAAGAUUUAACAUUGAGACGAGUGGCGAACUGGUGAGUAACACGUGGGUAACCUGCCCUUGAAGUAGGGGAUAACACUUGGAAACAGGUGCUAAUACCGUAUAACAACCAAAACCACCUGGUUUUGGUUUAAAAGACGGCUUCGGCUGUCACUUUAGGAUGGACCCGCGGCGUAUUAGCUUGUUGGUAAGGUAACGGCUUACCAAGGCGAUGAUACGUAGCCGACCUGAGAGGGUAAUCGGCCACAUUGGGACUGAGACACGGCCCAAACUCCUACGGGAGGCAGCAGUAGGGAAUCUUCCACAAUGGACGAAAGUCUGAUGGAGCAACGCCGCGUGAGUGAUGAAGGGUUUCGGCUCGUAAAACUCUGUUGUUGGAGAAGAACAGGUGUCAGAGUAACUGUUGACAUCUUGACGGUAUCCAACCAGAAAGCCACGGCUAACUACGUGCCAGCAGCCGCGGUAAUACGUAGGUGGCAAGCGUUGUCCGGAUUUAUUGGGCGUAAAGCGAGCGCAGGCGGUUUUUUAGGUCUGAUGUGAAAGCCUUCGGCUUAACCGGAGAAGUGCAUCGGAAACCGGGAGACUUGAGUGCAGAAGAGGACAGUGGAACUCCAUGUGUAGCGGUGAAAUGCGUAGAUAUAUGGAAGAACACCAGUGGCGAAGGCGGCUGUCUGGUCUGUAACUGACGCUGAG
rnacentral:rRNA from 1 species